rnacentral:rRNA from 1 species
UACGUAGGUGGCAAGCGUUGUCCGGAAUUAUUGGGCGUAAAGCGCGCACAGGCGGUCCUUUAAGUCUGAUGUGAAAGCCCACGGCUCAACCGUGGAGGGUCAUUGGAAACUGGAGGACUUGAGUACAGAAGAGGAAAGCGGAAUUCCACGUGUAGCGGUGAAAUGCGUAGAGAUGUGGAGGAACACCAGUGGCGAAGGCGGCUUUCUGGUCUGUAACUGACGCUGAGGCGCGAAAGCCAGGGGAGCGAACGGG